rnacentral:rRNA from 1 species
AGUGAACGCUGGCGGUAGGCCUAACACAUGCAAGUCGGACGGCAGCACAGUAAGAGCUUGCUCUUACGGGUGGCGAGUGGCGGACGGGUGAGGAAUACAUCGGAACCUACUUUUUCGUGGGGGAUAACGUAGGGAAACUUACGCUAAUACCGCAUACGACCUACGGGUGAAAGCAGGGGAUCUUCGGACCUUGCGCGAUUGAAUGAGCCGAUGUCGGAUUAGCUAGUUGGCGGGGUAAAGGCCCACCAAGGCGACGAUCCGUAGCUGGUCUGAGAGGAUGAUCAGCCACACUGGAACUGAGACACGGUCCAGACUCCUACGGGAGGCAGCAGUGGGGAAUAUUGGACAAUGGGCGCAAGCCUGAUCCAGCCAUACUGCGUGGGUGAAGAAGGCCUUCGGGUUGUAAAGCCCUUUUGUUGGGAAAGAAAAGCAGCAGGUUAAUACCCCGCUGUUCUGACGGUACCCAAAGAAUAAGCACCGGCUAACUUCGUG